UCCCGCAACGAGCGCAACCCUCAUCCUUAGUUGCUAUCAGGUAAUGCUGAGUACUUUAAGGAAACUGCCAGUGAUAAGCUGGAGGAAGGUGGGGAUGAUGUCAAGUCAUCAUGGCCUUUAUGGAGUGGGCUACACACGUGCUACAAUGGUGUCUACAAUGGGUUGCAAGGUGCGCAAGCCUAAGCUAAUCCCUAAAAGACAUCUCAGUUCGGAUUGUACUCUGCAACUCGAGUACAUGAAGUUGGAAUCGCUAGUAAUCGUGGAUCAAGCAUGCCACGGUGAAUACGUUCUCGGGUCUUGUACACACUGCCCGUCACGCCAUGGGAAUUGGUUUCACUCGAAGCUA
rnacentral:rRNA from 1 species